rnacentral:rRNA from 1 species
UACGGAGGGAGCUAGCGUUAUUCGGAAUUACUGGGCGUAAAGCGCACGUAGGCGGCUUUGUAAGUAAGAGGUGAAAGCCCAGAGCUCAACUCUGGAAUUUGCCUUUUAGACUGCAUCGCUUGAAUCAUGGAGAGGUCAGUGGAAUUCCGAGUGUAGAGGUGAAAUUCGUAGAUAUUCGGAAGAACACCAGUGGCGAAGGCGGCUGACUGGACAUGUAUUUGACGCUGAG